GCUUAACACAUGCAAGUCGAACGGAAAGGCCCUGCUUUUGUGGGGUGCUCGAGUGGCGAACGGGUGAGUAACACGUGAGUAACCUGCCCUUGACUUUGGGAUAACUUCAGGAAACUGGGGCUAAUACCGGAUAGGAGCUCCUGCUGCAUGGUGGGGGUUGGAAAGUUUCGGCGGUUGGGGAUGGACUCGCGGCUUAUCAGCUUGUUGGUGGGGUAGUGGCUUACCAAGGCUUUGACGGGUAGCCGGCCUGAGAGGGUGACCGGCCACAUUGGGACUGAGAUACGGCCCAGACUCCUACGGGAGGCAGCAGUGGGGAAUAUUGCACAAUGGGCGGAAGCCUGAUGCAGCAACGCCGCGUGCGGGAUGACGGCCUUCGGGUUGUAAACCGCUUUCGCCUGUGACGAAGCGUGAGUGACGGUAAUGGGUAAAGAAGCACCGGCUAACUACGUGCCAGCAGCCGCGGUGAUACGUAGGGUGCGAGCGUUGUCCGGAUUUAUUGGGCGUAAAGGGCUCGUAGGUGGUUGAUCGCGUCGGAAGUGUAAUCUUGGGGCUUAACCCUGAGCGUGCUUUCGAUACGGGUUGACUUGAGGAAGGUAGGGGAGAAUGGAAUUCCUGGUGGAGCGGUGGAAUGCGCAGAUAUCACGAGGAACACCAAUGGCGAAGGCGGUUCUCUGGGCCUUUCCUGACGCUGAGGAGCGAAAGCGUGGGGAGCGAACAGGCUUAGAUACCCUGGUAGUCCACGCUGUAAACGGUGGGUACUAGGUGUGGGGUCCAUUCCACGGGUUCCGUGCCGUAGCUAACGCUUUAAGUACCCCGCCUGGGGAGUACGGCCGCAAGGCUAAAACUCAAAGGAAUUGACGGGGCCCCGCACAAGCGGCGGAGCAUGCGGAUUAAUUCGAUGCAACGCGUAGAACCUUACCUGGGUUUGACAUGGAUCGGGAGUGCUCAGAGAUGGGUGUGCCUCUUUUGGGGUCGGUUCACAGGUGGUGCAUGGCUGUCGUCAGCUCGUGUCGUGAGAUGUUGGGUUAAGUCCCGCAACGAGCGCAACCCUUGUUCACUGUUGCCAGCACGUUAUGGUGGGGACUCAGUGGAGACCGCCGGGGUCAACUCGGAGGAAGGUGGGGAUGACGUCAAGUCAUCAUGCCCCUUAUGUCCAGGGCUUCACGCAUGCUACAAUGGCUGGUACAGAGAGUGGCGAGCCUGUGAGGGUGAGCGAAUCUCGGAAAGCCGGUCUCAGUUCGGAUUGGGGUCUGCAACUCGACCUCAUGAAGUCGGAGUCGCUAGUAAUCGCAGAUCAGCAACGCUGCGGUGAAUACGUUCCCGGGGCUUGUACACACCGCCCGUCAAGUCAUGAAAGUUGGUAACACCCGAAGCCGGUGGCCUAACCGUUGUGGGGGAGCCGUCGAAGGUGGGACUGGUGAUUAGGACUAAGAC
rnacentral:rRNA from 1 species